rnacentral:rRNA from 1 species
AGUGGUAGGAGAGCGUUCUAGUCAGCAUUGAAGCCAUACCGGUAAGGAGUGGUGGAGCGGCUAGAAGUGAGCAUGCAGGCAUGAGUAGCGAGAAAACGGGUGAGAAUCCCGUUCGCCGUAAACCCAAGGGUUCCUACACUAUGCUCGUCAAUGUAGGGUUAGUCGGGUCCUAAGCUGAGUCCGAAAGGGGUAAGCGAUGGCAAAUUGGUUAAUAUUCCAAUACCAACUAAUAGUUUAGUACGAUGGGGGGACGCAUAGGGUUAAACGAGGUCACUGAUGGAAUAGUGGCUCGAAGGGUGUAGAUAAGCUGGAUAGGAAAAUCCGCCGGCUGUUUUCGAGACCUGACAGGCAGAUCGAGUUCUUCGGAACAACAUCUGAAUCGUUGAUACCGUCGUGCCAAGAAAAUCCUCUAAGUGUAUUAUUAGUUGCCCGUACCGUAAACCGACACAGGUGGGUGAGAUGAGUAUUCUAAGGCGCGUGGAAGAACCCUGGUUAAGGAACUCUGCAAACUAGCACCGUAACUUCGGAAUAAGGUGUGCCUCCUUCUGUAUAGAGAUUUACUCUCGAAAGCGGAAGAGGUUGCAACAAAGAGUCCCUCCCGACUGUUUAUCAAAAACACAGCACUUUGCUAACUCGCAAGAGGAUGUAUAAGGUGUGACGCCUGCCCGGUGCUUGAAGGUUAAUUGAUGGGGUUAGUUCUUCGGAACGAAGCUCUUGAUCGAAGCCCAAGUAAACGGCGGCCGUAACUAUAACGGUCCUAAGGUAGCGAAAUUCCUUGUCGGUUAAAUACCGACCUGCAUGAAUGGCGUAACGAGAUGGGAGCUGUCUCAACCAGGGAUCCAGUGAAAUUGUAGUGGAGGUGAAAAUUCCUCCUACCCGCGGCAAGACGGAAAGACCCCGUGCACCUUUACUAUAGCUUGACACUGCAAUUGGGAUAUAUUUGUGCAGGAUAGGUGGGAGGCUUUGAUUCUAUGGCGCUAGCUGUAGAUGAGCUAUCCUUGAGAUACCACCCUUAUAUAUUCUGAUUGCUAACUUGCUUGGGUUAUCCCCAAGGAGGACAAUGUCUGGUGGGUAGUUUGACUGGGGCGGUCGCCUCCUAAAAAGUAACGGAGGCUUACAAAGGUUGGCUCAUAUCGGUUGGAAAUCGAUAGCAGAGUAUAAUGGUACAAGCCAGCUUAACUGCGAGACGUACAUGUCGAGCAGAGACGAAAGUCGGUCAUAGUGAUCCGGUGGUUCUGUGUGGAAGGGCCAUCGCUCAAAGGAUAAAAGGUACGCCGGGGAUAACAGGCUGAUCUCCCCCAAGAGCUCACAUCGACGGGGAGGUUUGGCACCUCGAUGUCGGCUCAUC